CAUGAAGCUGGAUUCGCUAGUAAUCGCGCAUCAGCCACGGCGCGGUGAAUACGUUCCCGGGCCUUGUACACACCGCCCGUCAAGCCAUGGAAGCCGGGAGUGCCUGAAGUGCGUGACCGCAAGGAGCGUCCUAAGGCAAUACCGGUGACUGGGGCUAAGUCGUAACAAGGUAGC
rnacentral:rRNA from 1 species